AUGCACAAGUUCUUGCUGAAGGACCUAAGUUCUCUUAGCCGGAGGCUUGAGCACCUGCACGCAGUGACCGCUGGUGGCUCUAGGACAAGAGGUUUGAUUGACAGCAGCCCCGGCUGGAGUGUUAUUCAUAAAGAGGAUGUAACACACACUGAUAGACGUCUUUAUACAGCUGUCAUUCCAGAGCUGUCUGUUCUUCAUCUCAGAGUAAAAAAAAAAGGUAAAGUAUUAGUGACUUUAUUUCUGGCUUUAUGUUUUGUGACUAUGCCUUUGUAUCUCACAACUGACUAUUUUUCUUUUAAUACUGACUUUAGUAUGUUAUUUUAGUAUAGAUUAUAUUCUUAAUAAUAUUAGUUAUUAUUAAUAAUAUUAAUAUAUUAAUAAUUCUAUAAUUAAUAUUACUAGAAAAACCAUAUGAAUUUUACAUGUGACAUGUGACGUACAUAAUAGUAAUCAAAGUACUUAAACUUAAUUAUUUCAGUCAGUCGCCAAAGCAACAUUUCUCAUUUUCAUUAAAAUGUUUAAUUUUAAUAAAAAAUAAAAAAACAUUAAUGCUUAAUUUUUAUUUAUUUAAAUGACCAAAAAUAAUUUUAAUAGUUUUAGGUUUUAGUUUUAGUUAACAAUAACAACACUGAUUUCUUGUCAAAAUUGAGCCUUUGUAAUCGCAAUUAUCUUUAUGUUUUUACUUUGAAGUGUAAAUAGGCUUCAAUAUGUUUCACAUACAUUACAUUACAUACAGUGAAAUGUGCAAAGAAAACACAUUAGAAGUAGACCCGCUAGUUUCAAAUGGACCUAAUUGUGUUUUGUUUUCAAUCUAACAGGUUGGUAGUGUAUAGUAAAUAUCGUUAUCUUAGAAUGAAAACCGUUGCGUCAAUGAGAGAUACUCAGUAGAGCUAAGGUCAGCAUGGAUCACAGAUGCACUGGUCUGACAGCACAACUCCAGAGCUGAGGCUUAAGAAAGCAAACACAACCUGCAGACACCCGUCCUGCCUGCUGCACACUCUUCUACUGACUCAUGUGCUUCACAGAUCAAGAGCAGAACUCUUCCAAAGACCCUUUCCAGGCACAGAUUAAGCCUGACCCCGGAAUAAAGUCCUCCACCAAUAGAGAUCCUAUUUAUAUCAUGAUCUAGACCAGAUUUUUAGAUUCAGACAUCUGCUAGAGCCUGCAAAGCCACAUUAAAACAGUAGUUCACCCAAAAAUGCAAGAUACUUCAUAACUUGGAAACUUUAAAAAAUAUAGUGCGCAAAUCUUUUGGACAUCAACGAAAAAACACUUUCUGCAUUAUGACAUAAUUAUAAUACAUCAUCAUAACGCAUUAAUUAUGCAUGGCGCACUCAGUUAAAAUAGCUUUGCCAUUCAUGUGCUUUUAAAGUAUCAUUUCUAAAAAAAAAAUGUGAACAAAGAAAAUGAUCAGGGGCACAAGGCAGGAAGCGACGCAAAGAAGAGGAGCAAUAAAAUAUCAAUAUAGAGAAAAAAAAUCUCAAGUUAAGACUGUCUAUUAGCCCUUGAUGUUUGUGUAGUAUUUUGAAAUAGCCUUUUUAAAACAUCUUAAAUGGCAACACUGACACGGUG
ensembl:lncRNA